UAGGGAAUCUUCGGCAAUGGGGGCAACCCUGACCGAGCAACGCCGCGUGAGUGAAGAAGGUUUUCGGAUCGUAAAGCUCUGUUGUAAGUCAAGAACGAGUGUGAGAGUGGAAAGUUCACACUGUGACGGUAGCUUACCAGAAAGGGACGGCUAACUACGUGCCAGCAGCCGCGGUAAUACGUAGGUCCCGAGCGUUGUCCGGAUUUAUUGGGCGUAAAGCGAGCGCAGGCGGUUUGAUAAGUCUGAAGUUAAAGGCUGUGGCUCAACCAUAGUUCGCUUUGGAAACUGUCAAACUUGAGUGCAGAAGGGGAGAGUGGAAUUCCAUGUGUAGCGGUGAAAUGCGUAGAUAUAUGGAGGAACACCGGUGGCGAAAGCGGCUCUCUGGUCUGUAACUGACGCUGAGGCUCGAAAGCGUGGGGAGCGAACAGGAUUAGAUACCCUGGUAGUCCACGCCGUNNCGAUGAGUGCUAGGUGUUGGAUCCUUUCCGGGAUUCAGUGCCGCAGCUAACGCANUAANCACUCCGCCUGGGGAGUACNACCGCAAGGNU
rnacentral:rRNA from 1 species